UACGAAGGGGGCUAGCGUUGCUCGGAAUUACUGGGCGUAAAGGGAGCGUAGGCGGGUUAUCAAGUUGGAGGUGAAAGCCCAGGGCUCAACCUUGGAAUUGCCUUCAAAACUGAUAGCCUAGAGUAUGAUAGAGGUAAGUGGAACUCCGAGUGUAGAGGUGAAAUUCGUAGAUAUUCGGAAGAACACCAGUGGCGAAGGCGACUUACUGGAUCACGACUGACGCUGAGGCUCGAAAGCGUGGGGAGCAAACAGG
rnacentral:rRNA from 1 species